rnacentral:rRNA from 1 species
UUGCCUACGGGAGGCUGCAGCAAGGAAUUUUCCGCAAUGGGCGCAAGCCUGACGGAGCAACGCCGCGUGGGGGAUGACGCUUUUCGGAGUGUAAACCUCUUUUCUCAGGGAAGAAGGAAGUGACGGUACCUGAGGAAUAAGGACCGGCUAACUACGUGCCAGCAGCCGCGGUAAUACGUAGGGUCCGAGCGUUGUCCGGAGUUACUGGGCGUAAAGCGCGCGCAGGUGGCUCGAUAAGACUGGCGUGAAAGCCCCCGGCUCAACCGGGGAGGGUCGUUGGUGACUGGCGGGCUUGAGGGCAGCAGGGGCAGGUGGAAUUCCCGGUGUAGUGGUGAAAUGCGUAGAGAUCGGGAGGAACACCCGUGGCGAAGGCGGCCUGCUGGGCUGACCCUGACACUGAGGCGCGAAGGCGUGGGGAGCGAACGGGAUUAGAUACCCUGGUAGUCGC